rnacentral:rRNA from 1 species
AUUGAACGCUGGCGGCAGGCUUAACACAUGCAAGUCGAGCGGGGGAAGGUAGCUUGCUACCGGACCUAGCGGCGGACGGGUGAGUAAUGCUUAGGAAUCUGCCUAUUAGUGGGGGACAACAUCUCGAAAGGGAUGCUAAUACCGCAUACGUCCUAUGGGAGAAAGCAGGGGAUCUUCGGACCUUGCGCUAAUCGAUGAGCCUAAGUCGGAUUAGCUAGUUGGUGGGGUAAAGGCCUACCAAGGCGACGAUCUGUAGCGGGUCUGCGAGGAUGAUCCGCCACACUGGGACUGAGACACGGCCCAGACUCCUACGGGAGGCAGCAGUGGGGAAUAUUGGACAAUGGGGGGAACCCUGAUCCAGCCAUGCCGCGUGUGUGAAGAAGGCCUUAUGGUUGUAAAGCACUUUAAGCGAGGAGGAGGCUACUUUAGUUAAUACCUAGAGAUAGUGGACGUUACUCGCAGAAUAAGCACCGGCUAACUCUGUGCCAGCCGCCGCCGUAA